rnacentral:lncRNA from 1 species
AAAUUUGUAUAUCGUGACUGACAAUGAGGUUCACGGCAACCGGCGAAGGGUGUUCACCGGCAAUGGCAAAAGGCAACAAGGACUCGUAGGUGCCUCGAGGGAUUACGGGACAGCGUCGUAGAAGCCUAGCAGCUCCUUGGAAGACUCGGUGAUGUUGCAAUAACCAAUGGUGCUGAGCAGCAGCUCGCAAAGACCCUGAAGAACUUGCAGGAAAAUGUAAACACGACAAAGGCGUAAAAGUUGAGCUGCUUCGUCGGAAUUGCAGGAGUCAAUGGGUGAGUAGGGGCGGCUGUAAUUGUUGGACUGCGAGCAAGGCUUGACAGCAGGGGAAGCUCUGUUGCUAUGGGCGAUCCACGCGUUGUAAUUCAUAGCAGGUUUGUUC